AAUGAACGCUGGCGGCAGGCCUAACACAUGCAAGUCGGGCGAUCGGCGGACGGGUGAGUAAUGUAUGGGGACUGCCUGAUGGCGGGGGAUCACUACUGGAAACGGUAGCUAAUACAGCAUACUAUCAGAUAACCCAUAUGGGAUUAGCUAGUAGGUGAGGUAACGGCUUACCUAGGCAACGAUCCCUAGCUGGUCUGAGAGGAUGAUCAGACACACUGGGACUGAGACACGGCACAGACUCCUACGGAGGCAGCAGUGGGGAAUAUUGCACAAUGGGCGGAAGCCUGAUGCAGCCAUGCCGCGUGUAUGAAGAAGGCCUGCGGGUUGUAAAGUACUUUCAGGCGUGAGGCGUUACCGACAGAAGAAGAACCGGCUAACUCCGUGCCAGCAGCCGCGGUAAUUC
rnacentral:rRNA from 1 species